GGAGAGAUGGCUCAGCAGUUAAGAGCACUGACUGCUCUUCCAGAGGAUCUGGGUUCAGUUCCCAGCAUCUACA
rnacentral:tRNA from 1 species